UCCGAUUGAUCCCGUCGGACCCCACUGCUAUCGAAAUGGGACUAAGGUAUGCUAGUCGAACGACCAGAACUAUGACUGGAAGUGGCACACUGCUCAGUAACACGUAGCUAACCUACCCUUAGGACGUGGAUACCCCCGAGAAAUUGGGGUUAAUCCGCGAUAGAUGUAAUGUCCUGGAAUGGUAUUACGUCUAAAGGUAUUUCAUACAUGUUUGAAAUAUGCCUAAGGACGGGGCUGCGGCCGAUCAGGCUGUUGGUGAGGUAAUGGCUCACCAAAACCUUUGACCGGUACGGGCCAUGAGAGUGGUAGCCCGGAGAUGGACACUGAGACAAGGGUCCAGGCCCUAAGGGGCGCAGCAACCGCGAAACCUCCACAAUGCACUCACGUGCGAUGGGGCUAUCUCGAGUGCCACCUGAUGAAGGUGGCUUUUCCUAGGUCUUCAAAGCCUUGGGAAUAAGAGGGGGGCAAGACUGGUGUCAGCCGCCGCGGUAACACCAGCCCCUCGAGUGGUGGGGAUGAUUAUUUGGCCUAAAGCGUCCGUAGCCGGCCGAGCAAGUCUUCCGUUAAAUCCAGCGUCUCAAGCGUUGGACCGCGGGAGAUACUACACGGCUAGAGAGUGGGAGAGGUCAGCGGUAUUCUGGGGGUAAGGGCGAAAUCUUUUGAUCCCCGGAGGACCACCAGUGGCGAAGGCUGCUGACUAGAACACGUCUGACGGUCAGGGACGAAAGCUGGGGUAGCGAACCGGAUUAGACACCCGGGUAGUCCCAGCCGUAAACGAUGCAUGUUAGGUGUUGGGUUGGCCACGAGCCACCCCAGUGCCGCAGGGAAGCCGUUAAACAUGCCGCCUGGGAAGUACGAUCGCAAGGUUGAAACUUAAAGGAAUUGGCGGGGGAGCACCACCAGGCGUGAAGCCUGCGGUUUAAUUGGAGUCAACGCCGGGAACCUUACCGGGAGCGACAGCAGAAUGAAGGCCAGAUUGAAGAUCUUGCCAGACGAGCUGAGAGGAGGUGCAUGGCCGUCGCCAGUUCGUGCCGUGAGGUGUUCUCUUAAGUGAGGUAACGAACGAGACCCGUGCCACAUGUUGCCACCAGUAUCUAAAGGAUAGCUGAGCACUCUUGUGGGACCGCAGCCGAUAAGGCUGAGGAAGGUACGGGCAACGGCAGGUCAGUAUGCCCCGAAUCUCCCGGGCCACACGCGGGCUGCAAUGGUAUAGACAGAGGGCUGCCACCCCGAAAGGGGGAGCCAAUCCCUAAACUAUACCUCAGUUGGGAUCGAGGGUUGCAACCCACCCUCGUGAACAUGGAAUGCCUAGUAACCGCCAGUCAUCAUCUGGCGGUGAAUACGUCCCUGCUCCUUGCACACACUGCCCGUCGAACCACCCGAAUGAGGUUUGGGUGAGGAAUGGUCGAAUGUUGGCCGUUUCGAACCUGGGCUUCGUAAGGAGGGUUAAGUCGUAACAAGGUG
rnacentral:rRNA from 1 species